rnacentral:lncRNA from 1 species
GUUCCCACCCAGCUUCUGGGGCUUCUUCUUCUCUGCCUCCUAGGUUCUGUAUGUGACAUCAUGAAGAUGCAGUCUCCAACCUCCCCAUCUAAAUCUCAAGGAGACAUGGUCACCAUCACUUCUAGGGCAAGUGAAAAUGUUAAUAAUUGGUUUUCUGCUGUAAACAGAAGCCAAGGUAGCCUGGACUUCAUCUCCUUGGUUUCCCUCCAGUCACAGAAGACAUUUUAUUUGUUCAAAGUCAGUCCACACCCAUCCACUCCAUUGGUUCUUUCCUCCCAGCUGCACCAACCAGGGCAUUUGCAUGCUGCUCCCUGGGGAUGACCUUCCACAAGGCUGACAUCAAAGUUCAGUUCUAACCUGCCCUUGACUCUCCAGGACUCCUCUGCUCAGCUUCUCAAAAUGAGGCUUCCUGCUCAGCUCC